rnacentral:lncRNA from 1 species
UUUUUUUUUUUUUUUUUUUAAAUCAUUUAAAAAUACUGGAGUUCCUGUCGUGGCUCAGUGGUAGUGAAUUCGACUAGUAUCCAUAAGGACACGGGUUUGAUCCCUGGCCUUGCUCAGUGGGUUAAGGAUCCGGUGUUGCCUUCAGCUGUGGUGUAGGUCCAAGACACGGCUCGGAUCUGGCGUUGCUGUGGCUGUGGUGUAGGUCGCAGACAUGGCUCAGAUCCUGCACUGCUGUGGCUGUGGUGUAGGCUGCCAGCUGCAGCUCCAGUUCAACCCCUAGCCUGGGAAAUUCCAUAUGCUGCAGGUGUGGUCCUAAAAAGACAAAAAAAAAAAAGAAUGGAUGUGUGUGUAUAUAUAACUGAAUCACGUUGCCUUACAGCAGAAAUCAUCACAGCAUUGUAAAUCAACCAUAUUUCAAUAAAACUUUAAAAAAAUGGUGCAGUGGGUUAAGUUUCCAACUGCAGAGGAUCGGGUCACUGCAGAGGUACAGGUUCGAUCCCAGGCCCAGCUCAGUGGGUUAAAGGAUCCAGUGUGGCCACAGCUAUGGCUUGGAUUUGAUCCCUAGCCAGAGUGGAAUUUCCAUAUGCUGCAGGUGUGGCCAUAAAAAUAAAAAAAUAAAACUUUAAAAAUGGAAGAAAAAAGAAUAUACCCAAGGCAGAGUGGGGACCCAUACCAUCCAGCCUAUUUUCCCUAAUGCUUUUCCUUCCAGGUUGCAAACCCACGUUUCAUAGGCUGGAGACCCCAGACUCUGUGUCCAGCCAGAGCUGGCAGCUAAAUGAGAAGGCAAAACAGCAUUCUCUCCUGAAGAAUGGAGGGGCUGAAAUACACUUCCCCCCACACCCCCAUCACUGAAUGCUCAGGGGGACACGCCACACAGUCACUAGUCUGCUCAAAUGGAAGACCAGUGACUCCUCAAGCACUGGUUCAAGGACUUAAUUAAGACCCUAGAGAUCUCCUCAGGAGAACCGCUCAGAAAUGACUUUAGCUUGGAAAACGUUCAGAGGCGAGCAGUGUCCCAUCCUGGCAGUCAGGAAACUCCCAUAAUGCUCUCUUACGUGACUAAAUCAGAGGAGCAGAAUUCCCAGCGGAACCGGCAGGGUGAGUCAGCUGUGAAGUGUAGCCCCAAGUCAAAGAACAAGGGGCUGAGGGUACAGAGUUAUUUGUUAUUAACCAACUGAGGACCAACAGAGCCAAGGGCGCAGCUGUCUUUUUCUGGCAGAAAUUACCUAAUGGGGCAGAGUGCUCCUGAGGUCAUUCCCAGUUUGUUCCAUCCAUACUAUUCGGUCGGCUUAAAUAAGGAUCUUCCUUCUUGCUUUUUAUAAAGCAUUCACAUUCACUUUUUCCUAAAAUCCUAUCAGUCCAUUAAUGUAUGCGUUGUAAAGAUGAGGCUAUAUCCUGACCAGCUUGGUGGGUGGAGGGGGGGUCAGGGAGGGAAAAAUAGUAGAGGAUACUUGUUCAGAGCAUGAAAUCUGGAGUCAGAAAGCUUUGGGUUCAACGCCCCCCAUGUGACCACUUAUUAAUUAUAUGACUGUGGGUUACUCUACCUGCUCUAUGUCUCAGUUUCCUCAGCUAUUACAAUAGAGAUGUUAAGAGUGACCUCAUAAACGUCCAGGAUUAAAACAAGCCCCAUAUGGGUAAUGCAUGAGAAUUCAGAAACCAUCAGCUGCCGCUCUGAUUGUUUGCCUUCUUACAGCAUCUGUCACGUCACAGCAAGUCACAGCACCUGCACAGAGUAGACACUGACUAAACAUGUGCUGAUCGCUGAGUUAAUUUCUCACAAUGAAGCUGGUGGCCAUUCAUGGGCUGAUACCCACAGUGCCAGUUUAGAAAGGCUGCAGUGUGCCUCCCAGAUGCCGUGGGCUCCAUGAUUUGUUUAUGAACCAUCAAAACUGGUGAUUUAUAUAAACGACGUCUUUGGAGGGAGUCAACACAAGAGAGGAAAUGGAAUGGGAUAAAGGACUACUUAACAAACAUCACUCAGCUUGGGCAGCUGGAACUACCAGCUGAUGAAUACCUGGCCCAAGGCCUAAGCCACUCAAAACAACAACAGCAGGUGCUAUUAUUACCAGAUGUUAUUGCUCCUGGAGCUUGAAAACUGGUCUUCUGGGAGUGAUCCCAUCCAGACAGACAUGCAGGCUUUACAGGCGAAUCCGUAACCGGAGAUCUAUGGAAAUCCCCUAUGUCUUGGGACGUAGGGACGUCAUGAUGAUCCAAUGAGUCCUGCCAUCUUUAUUCAUAAAGUGGGAGACAUUUAAAAGAGCCGCCAUGUUCGGUUGUGCCGGCUGUACACUGCACAAGCCUCAGGGCACCCGUCACUCACUCGGUCCAGGAUACCCCUGGGGUCUGGAGGGUACAAGUCAAGCUGCAGCAGCCCUGCUAAAGAGGGCUCAACACGGGCCUCUGAAACCUUGUCCCCCACUAAAGAUACUGAACCCAGAACAGAAGUUUCUUAAGAACAAAAUUGGUAUAUAUCGCAGGGGGGCGGAUUUAGCACACUGAUUGGCUUAUAGUGUUAACUGAGUGGAGUGGCAUUCUUUUUGGAAGACUAGAGACAUAAUAUUUGGAGUCUAUCUAGAAGGUUCUGCAACUAAAGUGCUCACGGAAUCAAACUGGUCAGAAGAGUGGCCUGCCAUACAAAAGAGGCCGCCCAGAGUACAAUGGCCAAACAGAGACUAAGUAAGCUUUAUACGUUUAAUACAUUUAAUCAAUCCAAGUAGUUCUGGCCCUGGUAAAGGAGAGGACAUGGGUCUAGAAAAUAGAAGGCAAGUGAAUGAGAAUUCUGGACCUGAAAGAAAAAUGCGUUGAAAAGGGCAGAGGGAGUUGGCUGAUCUUACAGUACAUGGACCCUGCCAGGCCAGAAACAGGUAACCCGGAGGCUCUUUGCCACCAGAAGGGCAGGAUGACUGCCUUCAGGCAGGGCUCUCUCUGGACCCAAGAUACCAAUCUCUGAAACUGAUGAACUCUUCUGGUUCUGGAGAGCACUGUUGGGAAAGGGGGGGCUUCUGGGGAGAGAGGGAGAGAGGGGCACAGCUAGGGGACUGCACCUAAUCAGCUCGGUGGCAGCAAUCGUCAAUGAUUUUGGGAAUGGGAUACAAAAUGGGAAGCUCCAGAUAAAUGAAUUGUGAGGGUUCAAACACAUUUUUGUUCUGUAACUCAUUUUCAGCUUGAGCAAUUUCAUGCGAAUCCAGUUACGUGAGAGAGUUUCCUGAUGAAUAUGCUUUUUUAUGAUUUUAUUACAGCUCUAAGAAGUAUUUGCAUUUAAGUGAAAUGAUGUUUGGGGGAAUCUGAAUAAUUGUCUCAUGAUUUCAGCCUGCCUCAUUAUUAAAUAAAAAUACAGGGCUCUGUUCCCCUUCUUUCUUACCCAAAUCUGUAGCCUCAACAGCAUCUCAUUCCCAGGUGAAAAAAAACCCAAAGAAAGCUUCAGGAGAAGGUGGGGAGGGUGGGCCCAGGCAAGAAUGCCUGAUGGUGUCCUGAUAAAGGCAACUAAGCUUCAGGAAACACCCAUUUCAGAUCACCAUGACCUUGGGAUUUGCCCAGGUAGCUGGGAGAAGGACGACUCAAGCCUUUUCCUUACAGUUCAGCAGGCAGCAGCUUGUCUGCAGCUGAAGGAGAGAAGCUUUUGAAAAAUCUUCCCAAAAGAUGUCUCAAAGGGUAUCUAUUGAGUUCAAGCGCAUGGACGAUUGUGGCUAUCUAAAAAUGGCAUUUUUGCAACAUCAAAAGCAAAGAGCGCCACCCAUUUCGUCAGGUUCGCACAAAUGGACAGUCCCUUCUCUGAAAUCUUCAGCACUGGUUGUGUUUUGGAUUUCAGGGUUUUUCAGAUGCUAAAGGGGAUUACCCUGUGUCUUCUAUGGAACACCCUCCCAGAAACGUCCGGGGCACUUGCUACAAUCCAACGUAUUAACAUCUCUGCAGCAAACUGUACGAACAGUCACAGCCGGGGAUAAAGAAAGACUAUAAAUAGCCUCACCUCUGUUCAGGGAGGGCUUUGCUGCCAAACGAGUUUGCGCCAACCUUCAGGGAAAAACGUUUAGCGGCCAGAGCUUUUUGGUUCUCAGUACUGCAGGGGAGGGACUGCCCAAAGUUCAAAGAUGUACUAGCAAUGCCGUUGAGCGGCGGUUCUCAAAGUGUGGUCCCCGGGCCAGCAGAUUCAGCAUCCCCUGGAAACCUGUCAGAAACGCAGAUUCUCGGACCCCACCCCAGACUUAAGGAAUCACCAGCUCUGAAGGUGGACUCCAGCAAUAGGUGGUUAACAAGCCUUCCAGAGGAUUCUGGAAGAGAAUCUGCAGGGCAGAACCAGAGCUGGAGAGAUGGAGCAUAAACACUGGUCUGGGAGUAAAAGAGAACUGAGUCUACUAACCUGCUGUGACACAUAAUCCUCUGGUAAUCUGAUUUUCAAUCUGCAAAGUACGAAUUGGGUCUAAAUUCUUGUACUAAAAUGUUAGUUAUUUUAAAUAAGAAUUAAAUCUUGUCAUUAAGUAGAACAGAAGUUAGUAGAUCCAUGGUAUAUAACAAGAGAAAGCAAAUAAACACGUAAAAUGGUACUUCUGUGCCUGGAAAAGUAACAUAAGAAAAUGUUACCAGAGUUCCUGUCACGAUUCAGUGGUAACGAAUCUGACUAGUACCCAUGGGGACAGGGGUUUGAUCCCUGGACUCACUCAGUGGGUUAAGGAUCCAGCGUUGCCAUGAGCCGAGGUGUAGGUCACAGACGUGGCUCGGAUCUGGUGUUGCUGUGGUUCUGGUGUGUAGACCAGCAGCUUCAGCUUCGAUUGGACCCCUAGCCUGGGAACCUCUAUAUGCUGCAAGUGCUGCCCUGAAAAAAAAACAAAAAAACAAAAAAACAAAGAAAGAACAAAAGAAUGAAAAUAUUAUCUACCCUCAGGUUUCCUGUCUCUACUGUCUCUAGGAGACCUCAAGUUCUGUUCUCAAGGAUUUCACAUUGAAACACGGCCACAAUGAAAAGACUGAAAUA